UUGAUAUUGGACUAAAAUCAUUUUAUUAGCCAUAAUCGCUAUAAACUACAGUUUAUAUGUAGACAUCUAAUAUUCCGCUUUUCAACACCGACACCAUUCAGAUGUAUUCAUUUUAAAUCUUCGGAAAAUAAAACAAACAAUAAUCUAAUGGAAUAGCCAGCUCUUUCCAUGUGCCGUGGCCAGCUGUGGAGGGAGCAUUAUUGCUGUUGCACUGUUUACAACGUAGACUGACCGGUGUGUUCACUUUAUUUGGUCAAAACGUAUCAAUCCCCCAAAAAACUUAGUUAAUAUGAAAGCCCGGGCCCUGUUGAGCACUCGACAACAAAGUUUGUCGCUGAAAUUCCAUUAGAUUAUUAGAUACAGGUUGUGUUUUCUCAGUCUUGGUAUCGCUGACUGCCGCCAUGUUGCCUUCACUGUUGAGAAAGAUGCAGCCACCUUAUUGGUGUAGCACGCUCACAUGAUGCACCGUGCAGUUACUUCCUGGAAAAAUGUUAUUCCGCUCAGAGAGAAGUAGUCCGUGAUAAAACUUAUCGCCAUAGCCGCUUUGCCACGAUAUCAACGACAAAAAAAUUGGUAGCUCUGUAAGGCCCCUGCUUUGCAUUCGUAUGGAGAUCACAUGAUCAUAACAUGCAAAAAGCUUCACUUUAUGGAUGCCGCAACUUCCGACCAUGCUUCCGACAGAGGAAUCCUUGUGCACAAGGUUCAAAUAACAUGGCACUGGAAAGUUUUCAGAGAGGAAGGAAAAAGUGUCGAAGAAGUCAAUUUGACGUCAUUCAGUGGUUAAGAGGCGGGUGCCGAAGCAGAUAUUACAGAAAAAAUGUUUAAUUUUGCAGUGUUUGGUCCUUUUACAAUCAUGCUUCAUUUUAGCAUUUGCAUGCAUGUAGACGAGUGUCGGUUGCGAGCAUGAGGGCUAGCGAGUUGCUAGUUUAGCCAGUGUGGGCCUAACAGCAUCGACUUCGUUUUUUUAAUCUGGGAUCUGUUUUCAUAUGUCAUUUCAAACGUGAGUGAUGGAGAAAUGAUUUUUCAACAUAGCUCCAGUAUUUAGCCAGGCAGGCAGCUUCGCAGCUCAGCUAGCGAAAAGUAUGGGGCAACUUGCCCCCCCGCAUCAAAGUCCGCCCUAACGUGCUUUUUUUCCCCACACUGACCGGCUCGGAUCGUCUCAACGAAUGUCCCACAACACUGAGAAGUGAACGAAAACCUGGAGUUCAGCUUAAUUUUGUCUGUGCAAGGUCAGACAUCAUCUGCAGUCCCUGACAGGGGCCGUUAUCGAAAAAAGUCAGAAGUCAAGACCUCCGACCACCCCAGUAGUAUCUGGGAGGGCCUGUGAUAGACGGCGCAUUCCUGUGAUGACCCGUGCCCGGACCUCACAGGAUAAUCGAGCUCAGACCACCCCAGUAGUCCCUGGGAGGGCCAAUACGCAGGCUCGGAGCCCACAGGCUGUCUCAAGUCGGCUAGCACAAGUAACCAGACAAGUUAUUACCCACAGUUCAAGUGGUGAUCGAACUCGUAGGGGAGCAUCACAGCAAGAGACUCCUAGACCUCAGACUGGAUCCCCCGCCCGUGCUUCCCAAGCUCAUUCCUCUGUAGGUCAGCGGCCCAAAACCCCAAGGAUUAAAGAGAGUGUUUGCAGUCAGUUUCCAAAUACCACAGAAGAACAAGUCGGAGCAGCUCUCAGUGAUCACCUAAAACAGGCGCCAGCUCGAUGUGGUGGGGGGGCUACAGGAAAGACAGAACUUCCCCCUUCUAAAUUUUUUUCUAAAAGCCCCACAAAGUUCUUUAAAAAGUGUUUUUUUAAAACAAACGUUUUAAAUCUAUUUUUUUUCUUUUUGAAUUGCGAGGCAAAUUUCAUAAAACCAGUUAAAAGUUGUUAAAAGUAGUUAUAUUUAUAGUUGUUUUUUUUUACAUUUUUUCCACUGUUAUAUUGUGUAAUAUUUUGUUCAGUUUAUUUUGAAUUGUUUUAAUUUUUCCAAGUUCAAGGUUUAAAUUUAUGUUCUAUUUGUGUAACAUUAAAGAAAAAUAAUGCCAA